AGAGUUUGAUCCUGGCUCAGGAUGAACGCUGGCGGCGUGCUUAACACAUGCAAGUCGAACGAAGCAUAAAGAACGGAAGUUUUCGGAUGGAAGUUCUUUAUGACUGAGUGGCGGACGGGUGAGUAACGCGUGGGUAACCUGCCUCAUACAGGGGGAUAACAGUUAGAAAUGACUGCUAAGACCGCAUAACCCGCUAAUGUCGCAUGACAUAGACGGAAAAUAUUGAUAGGUAUGAGAUGGACCCGCGUCUGAUUAGCUAGUUGGUAAGGUAAUGGCUUACCAAGGCGACGAUCAGUAGCCGACUUGAGAGAGUGACCGGCCACAUUGGGACUGAGACACGGCCCAAACUCCUACGGGAGGCAGCAGUGGGGAAUAUUGCACAAUGGGGGAAACCCUGAUGCAGCGACGCCGCGUGAGUGAAGAAGUAUUUCGGUAUGUAAAGCUCUAUCAGCAGGGAAGAUAAUGACAGUACCUGACUAAGAAGCCCCGGCUAACUACGUGCCAGCAGCCGCGGUAAUACGUAGGGGGCAAGCGUUAUCCGGAUUUACUGGGUGUAAAGGGAGCGUA
rnacentral:rRNA from 1 species